rnacentral:misc_RNA from 1 species
GAUGAAGAACGCAGCGAAAUGCGAUAAGUAAUGCGAAUUGCAGAAUUCAGUGAGUCAUCGAAUCUUUGAACGCACAUUGCGCCCGUCAGUAUUCUGGCGGGCAUGCCUGUUCGAGCGUCAUUACGCCCCUCAAGUCCCCUGUGGACUUGGUGUUGGGGAUCGGCGAGGCUGGUUUUCCAGCACAGCCGUCCCUUAAAUUAAUUGGCGGUCUCGCCGUGGCCCUCCUCUGCGCAGUAGUAAAACACUCGCAACAGGAGCCCGGCGCGGUCCACUGCCGUAAAACCCCCCAACUUUUUAUAGUUGACCUCGAAUCAGGUAGGACUACCCGCUGAACUUAAGCAUAUCAAUAAGCGGAGGA